rnacentral:lncRNA from 1 species
AUUAGCCAUACAUUUAUUCUGCUGCUUUUGCAUCUCCUAUGGUUGGGUGUGAAAGGAGCCUUGGCUCUGCUUGGGUUUAACUGAAUGUAAACACCCCUCCCGCCAUGCACACAUCACAUACCCUCACUAUUUUUCUUCUCCAUGUCUUCUUGCCUUUUCUUGUCCCCAGUACGUAUCAAUGCCUAAGGGACACAACAAAAUAUCCUGGCUUCUUGGCUGAGAAGUGUUGUCUCCUGUGACCUUCUUGGCAAAGAGACCCCAGCUGGCUCCCAAGGUCAAGAUGGAAUACUUAAUGAACAGAGCAACCAAGGUCCCAAAGUCACAAUUCAGACCAGGAAUUGGAUUUGUUCUUUUUUUUCAAUCGGGGGAUCGAACUCAUGACCGCCUGCUUGCAAGAGAAUUCCAGAAAGGUUUCAUGGAGAGCGAGGUAUUUCAG